UGUGUACCAUGACAACUCACUAAUGCUGUAGACUCCCAAGUGUGCAGUAGAGAAGCCACCCUUGGAGAGCUGAGUGUGUG